rnacentral:lncRNA from 1 species
AGAAAAUAUAAUUUUUUCUUGAAAAAAUAAAGAUUAUUGGACAAAGGCAGUAUUAGCAUGCAUUCUAGAAGAGGCUAGUGUCUUUCUCUGGCUAACAUAUUUGAGUUCACUUCUGUAUCUAGACUGAAACAGGUUGGAUGUUCUGCAGUCUAAGUGACAGGAAAUGUACUUCCUUGGAGUGGGACUCAGAGUAUCCACAUAUGCCUUCCAGGCAACUCACCUAUCCAAAGCCCUCUUCCUACAACUUAUAGCCAAAUAGUAACUAAAUUCAAUGCUUGGUUUUCCUUUGAUCUCCAUUGAUUCAUGCCAGCAAACAAAAUAAGGCAUCCUUUCCCUUAAAAGAGCAGUAGUUUGAUGUGAGAACAGUCAUUAUAAACAACAAACUAUCCAUUCAGGGAAAUUUUCCUUUGUCUCUUAGCAGUUCCACCGUGGUUACAACUGUUCUUUGCAGGUAUCUCCCCAGUAGUCAACAAACCCGUGUCAUUUUGUCCAGAUGGCCUCAUCCUAUCACUGGGUGUUGCAAUCACAUAAAAAGAACCCAUGCUUUGUGUUGGCUGAUUUGAAAAUGGAUCUCUGUUAUGGAGAUAAAUAUAGAAAACUUAUCAGGUUACUAAUCUGCCAUUGAACGUGGGCCUCAAAGGAAAGUCAUAAUCAUGCUUGUCAUAUUUGUCUUCAAAGCCUGUCACAAAUAUAGCUAAUGAAUUUUAAAAGCACCUGCCUCUACCUUUAUUGGCUUCCCUUCAUCUACUUUUCUUUGUCUUUUGAAAAUGAUAUCAACUUGAUUUCAUUGUAAUUCGAUGAUAAUAAUGAACAAAAUGGUGAAUUAUGACCUGCCUUUUCAUCAUUAAUCUUGUAUCAAUGCGUGUGUGUGUGUGUAUUAGUGUAGCUAGGAAUUUAACAGAAUCAAAAAUGCAUUCAUUUUAUCUAUAAUCAACCAUAAAUGUUCGGGAAUGAAUACACAGUUAGCUCAUGUUAUCGCAAAGGUUGUGAAGCUAUUUUAUCUUACAUUAAAAGGUUGCAUAAUGGAAACACAAGGCAUAGGAUUUGGAGUAGGUCCUGCUAAACUGACUCCAUCAAAUAGGAUUUUGUGUAGACUUAAGACAGUCUAAGUUUAAAUAGCAAAACACAAAGAUUGAUAGGAAGAAUGAGUAGGAAUGGCUUAUAAAAUAAUAUACAUCUAAAUAUGUGAAACUGAAGGAGCCUCAUCUAAAGAGAACUCAAACAUAGGAAAUUACAUUGAACUUUUUAGUACUGAAUUUACUGUCUAUUUUGUGAUUCCUCCUCUUGUGCAAAAACAUCCAUCGCCUAUAAAACAACAACAAAAAAAUAGUAACUCCAGGGAAAUGUUUUGAAUUCUGAUCCAUGAAACUCUAGAGUUUGAACAACAGUUGAGACAGAGUCACUGAAAUCCAAGGUGGUCACAGAACAGCUGCUUUAACGCUGUCACUUUGGGGACCUGAUGCUGAGAGUGAAAUUGCGUGAGGGAUAACAAAUAAAACUGUCUGCUCUGGUUUGCA